UACGAAGGGGGCUAGCGUUGUUCGGAAUUACUGGGCGUAAAGCGCGUGUAGGCGGGCCGUUAAGUCGGGGGUGAAAGCCCAGAGCUCAACUCUGGAACUGCCUUCGAUACUGGCGGCCUGGAGCAUGAUAGAGGCGAGUGGAAUUGCGAGUGUAGAGGUGAAAUUCGUAGAUAUUCGCAGGAACACCAGUGGCGAAGGCGACUCGCUGGAUCAUUGCUGACGCUGAGGCACGAAAGCGUGGGUAGCGAACAGG
rnacentral:rRNA from 1 species